GGUCCCAUCGAAUAAAUGGUUAGUUCGUCGGCCCUUCAAGUCGGAAAUGUCGGGUUCGAGCCCCACUGGGAUCA
rnacentral:tRNA from 1 species